rnacentral:rRNA from 1 species
AUUGAACGCUGGCGGCAGGCCUAACACAUGCAAGUCGAGCGGAUGAAGGGAGCUUGCUCCUGGAUUCAGCGGCGGACGGGUGAGUAAUGCCUAGGAAUCUGCCUGGUAGUGGGGGAUAACGUCCGGAAACGGGCGCUAAUACCGCAUACGUCCUGAGGGAGAAAGUGGGGGAUCUUCGGACCUCACGCUAUCAGAUGAGCCUAGGUCGGAUUAGCUAGUUGGUGGGGUAAAGGCCUACCAAGGCGACGAUCCGUAACUGGUCUGAGAGGAUGACCAGUCACACUGGAACUGAGACACGGUCCAGACUCCUACGGGAGGCAGCAGUGGGGAAUAUUGGACAAUGGGCGAAAGCCUGAUCCAGCCAUGCCGCGUGUGUGAAGAAGGUCUUCGGAUUGUAAAGUACUUUAAGUUGGGAGGAAGGGCAGUAAGUUAAUACCUUGCUGUUUUGACGUUACCAACAGAAUAAGCACCGGCUAACUUCGUG